rnacentral:rRNA from 1 species
GAUGAACGCUGGCGGCGUGCCUAAUACAUGCAAGUCGAGCGAACGGACGAGAAGCUUGCUUCUCUGAUGUUAGCGGCGGACGGGUGAGUAACACGUGGAUAACCUACCUAUAAGACUGGGAUAACUUCGGGAAGCCGUAGCUAAUACCGGAUAAUAUUUUGAACCGCAUGGUUCAAAAGUGAAAGACGGUCUUGCUGUCACUUAUAGAUGGAUCCGCGCUGCAUUAGCUAGUUGGUAAGGUAACGGCUUACCAAGGCAACGAUGCAUAGCCGACCUGAGAGGGGGAUCGGCCACACUGGAACUGAGACACGGUCCAGACUCCUACGGGAGGCAGCAGUAGGGAAUCUUCCGCAAUGGGCGAAAGCCUGACGGAGCAACGCCGCGUGAGUGAUGAAGGUCUUCGGAUCGUAAAACUCUGUUAUUAGGUAAGAACAUAUGUGUAAGUAACUGUGCACAUCUUGACGGUACCUAAUCAGAAAGCCACGGCUAACUACGUG